rnacentral:tRNA from 1 species
GGAAACGUACUCAAGUGGUUAAGAGGACACCCUGCUAAGGUGUUAGGCCGUUCUGCGGCGCAUGGGUUCGAGUCCCAUCGUUUCCG